rnacentral:lncRNA from 1 species
AGAGAGAGAGAGAGAGAGAGAGGGGUACUCACUUACCUCACUAGACUCAUUAUCCAGGCUUUGGCAUUGUCGAUCAUUCUUAGACUUAAACUCAGUCGACACUCAUUUUACAUUUCUAGCUUAUGAUCGUCUCUGAUAUUAAUUGUGACACUCUACUUUUUCAGAAAGUAACUCAUUCUAAAACUAUCUUAAUUUCUUAGUCAUAACUACUGUUCAAAAUACUAUACAUUUUA